UACGGAGGAUCCAAGCGUUUAUCCGGAUUUAUUGGGUUUAAAGGGUGCGUAGGUGGCCUGGUAAGUCAGGGGUGAAAGACGGUAGCUUAACUAUCGCAGUGCCUUUGAUACUGCCGGGCUUGAAUGAACUAGAGGUAGGCGGAAUGUGACAAGUAGCGGUGAAAUGCAUAGAUAUGUCACAGAACACCGAUUGCGAAGGCAGCUUACUAUGGUUUUUAUUGACACUGAGGCACGAAAAGCGUGGGGGAUCAAAACAGG
rnacentral:rRNA from 1 species